rnacentral:tRNA from 1 species
CACUAAGAAGCUAAUAAGAAACAGCGCUAGCCUUUUAAGCUCGAGAUAGGUGAUUACGCCCACCCUUAGUGA